rnacentral:rRNA from 1 species
GAUGAACGCUGGCGGCGUGCCUAAUACAUGCAAAUCGAACGCAUAGCGAAAGGUGCUUGCACCUUUCAAGUGAGUGGCGAACGGGUGAGUAACACGUGGACAACCUGCCUCAAGGCUGGGGAUAACAUUUGGAAACAGAUGCUAAUACCGAAUAAAACUUAGUGUCGCAUGACCCAAAGUUAAAAGGCGCUUCGGCGUCACCUAGAGAUGGAUCCGCGGUGCAUUAGUUAGUUGGUGGGGUAAAGGCCUACCAAGACAAUGAUGCAUAGCCGAGUUGAGAGACUGAUCGGCCACAUUGGGACUGAGACACGGCCCAAACUCCUACGGGAGGCUGCAGUAGGGAAUCUUCCACAAUGGGCGAAAGCCUGAUGGAGCAACGCCGCGUGUGUGAUGAAGGCUUUCGGGUCGUAAAGCACUGUUGUAUGGGAAGAACAGCUAGAAUAGGAAAUGAUUUUAGUUUGACGGUACCAGACCAGAAAGGGACGGCUAAAUACGUG